UCAAGCUAAUAAGAGCACAGGGUGGAUGCCCAGGCACCAAACGCCGACGAAAGACGUGGCAAGCUGCGAAAAGUCACGGGGAACCGCAAGCAGGUAUUGAUCCGUGAACGUCUGAAUGGGGAAACCCGGCGGGUUAACAGCCCGUCACUAUUAACUGAAUCAAUAGGUUAAUAGGGGGAACGCGGGGAACUGAAACAUCUCAGUACCCGUAGGAAGAGAAAAUAAAGAAUGAUUUCCUAAGUAGCGGCGAGCGAACGGGAAAGAGGCCAAACCGAAGGGCUUGCUCUUCGGGGUUGUGGAUCAGCAAAAAGGACGGAAGACCUUAGCAGAAGAGGAUUGGAAAGUCCCGCCAGAGAGGGUAAAAGCCCCUUACGCGAAAAGGUCAAACGACGAGCUGACACCAGAGUACCGCAGGACACGAGAAAUCCGGUGGGAAGCCGGGAGGACCACCUCCCAAGCCUAAAUACGAAUUGGUGACCGAUAGCGCAUAGUACCGUGAGGGAAAGGUGAAAAGAACCCCGGGAGGGGAGUGAAAAAGAACCUGAAACCCUGUGUUUACAAGCAGUGAAAGUGCGAGCAAGGCACGAUCACGUACUUUUUGUAGAACGGACCGGCGAGUUACGUUAUGCAGCAAGGUUAAGGACUGAAGGUUCGGAGCCGAAGCGAAAGCGAGUCUGAAUAGGGCGAUAGUUGCAUGACGUAGACCCGAAACCGGGUGACCUAUCCAUGAGCAGGUUGAAGUGGAGGUAAAGCUCCAUGGAGGACCGAACCAGACGUCUGUUGAAAAAGGCGGGGAUGACUUGUGGAUAGGGGAGAAAUUCCAAUCGAACCCGGAGAUAGCUGGUUCUCCUCGAAAUAGCUUUAGGGCUAGCCUCAUGGAUCAUUGGUGGGGGUAGAGCACUGAAUGUGCGCGGGGGCCACAAAGCCUACCAAACGCUAUCAAACUUCGAAUACCAUACAAUGCAGACCAUGGGAGUCAGUCCGCGAGAGAUAAGUUCCGCGGGCAAAAGGGGAACACCCCAGAUCAACCGCUAAGGUCCCCAAGUUCACGUUAAGUGGAGAAGGAUGUGGAAUUGCACAGACAACCAGGAUGUUGGCUCAGAAGCAGCCACACAUUUAAAGAGUGCGUAAUAGCUCACUGGUCGAGUGAUUGUGCGCCGAAGAUGUCCGGGGCUAAACGUGACACCGAAGCGAUGGGUGCAUCUGAAAGGAUGCGCGGUAGAGGAGCAAUGUGCAGAGGCAGAAGCCGUAUCGAGAGGCACGGUGGACACUGCACAAGAGAGAAUGCCGGUAUGAGUAGCGAGAGGCAUGCGAGAAACAUGCCCGUCGAAAGCCCAAGGUUUCCUGGGGAAGGUUCAUCCGCCCAGGGUAAGUCGGGGCCUAAGCCGAGGACGGAAGUCGUAGGCGAUGGACAGCAGGUGUAGAUUCCUGCACUACCGAUGGAAUGAAGCAGUGACACAGAAGGAUAACUCGAGCAGGGUGAUGGUCAACCCUGUGCAAGCAUCAAGGUUGGGUUGUAGUGAAGUACGCAAUCCUAAAAGCUGAGGUGUGAUGCGGACCGAAAUUUCAGUAGGGAAGCGAGUGAGUUCACGCUGGCGAGAAAAGCUGCUAGUACAUCCAAAGGUACCCGUACCGGAAACCGACGCAGGUGGGCGAGGAGAGAAUCCUGAGACGAACGGGAGAACCCUUGUUAAGGAACUCGGCAAAAUGACCCCGUAACUUCGGGAUAAGGGGUGCCUGCGAGAGCAGGCCGCAGAGAAUAGUCACAAGCGACUGUUUAGCAAAAACACAGGUAUCUGCGAAAGCGAGAGCUGACGUAUAGGUGCUGACACCUGCCCGGUGCUGGAAGGUUAAGGGAACAUGUUAGAGCAAUCGAAGCAUCGAACCGAAGCCCCAGUAAACGGCGGCCGUAACUAUAACGGUCCUAAGGUAGCGAAAUUCCUUGUCGGGU
rnacentral:rRNA from 1 species